rnacentral:rRNA from 1 species
UACGUAGGGUGCAAGCGUUGUCCGGAAUUAUUGGGCGUAAAGAGCGUGUAGGCGGCCCGAUUAGUCCGCUGUGAAAGUCCAGGGCUCAACCCUGGAAUGCCGGUGGAUACUGUCGGGCUAGAGUCCGGAAGGGGCGAGUGGAAUUCCUGGUGUAGCGGUGAAAUGCGCAGAUAUCAGGAAGAACACCUAUGGCGAAGGCAGCACUCUGGGACGGUACUGACGCUGAGACGCGAAAGCGUGGGGAGCGAACAGG